rnacentral:lncRNA from 1 species
AUAGCCUCAAAUAUAUAAGUGGUCUGAGUGGUUAGUAUAUGCUUCUUCAGAUACAAUACACAAACAAUCUCUCAAUAGGAGGACUCACUUGUAUGUCGAAGCUUACGAUGAAUGGAACCAGGGUGGUCAUGCUUAUGAUAGUUAUCCUUGCUUGUAACAAGAUUCAUUCGCAGUGUAAGUAGACGGUAACAAUCACGUGGAAUAUGAUAAAGCUUCAAUUGUAUCAAAAAUUAUUACAUAGAGUAUGAUCCCUCCUUGAAGAACCGCUAACACGAAAGCUUGUUGACAUGUCAUUGUUCUUUGCAUGUAGGUCGACCAAUUGAGCAAAUGAAUAACAUCAAGCUCCAAAUGUGCACAUGCUCACGGAGAAAAUCAGUUUACUGCUGUGACUUAGGAGGUCGUUGCUUUCGAGAUGAAUUACAAUGCAUAAAAGGUUGUGCUCCUGGAUGCAAGCAAUCUCGUACCUUGACAGAGCCAUGAGCAAGCACUACAUAUAAUUUAUCAUGAUAAAUUAUGUCAUGCCCAUCUUGAAAUAAAAUUAUGAGAUGUGAUCCUCUUAUGCCAGU